UUUGUUGUGCUCAGCUCCACCACCUGGCCAAAAGCUGUGCAACUGUGCCUCCGACGGAGAGAACAGUGUUGAGUCAAGUCAUAAUGAAGCCCACAUCUCUGAGGAGGUCUUUGAAAUAAAUGGGCUAAUGAGGAAGGCAUCUUCACCAAGAUGUCACACCCUUGGAGAAAAAGGGCCCAUGGGGAGGCAACCCUUCCCUGAUGGGCAGGAGCAGGGCAGAGGGGAGCACCAUGAGAGGAGCAGAAUUAGCCAGGACUGUUGCAGCUGGGGGUGAACACAGCCGCCCUUCUUCCCUUGAAAUAAGCAAUGGCUGACAAGGAUUCAGCAGCAGUCAGGUAAAUUAUUUGCGAACAGUUGGAUUAUUUCAGGUCUUUGAAGACUUGUUGGGCAAGACUCAAGCAGUGUUUAGCCUAGGGCUAAUUAUUUUCCACUGCUGAGGCAAGAACCUUCUAAGUAUUCUACCCAAUGCCUCGUGAAUUAUGAUGAUCAUAGGAGCCGCCAACACUCGUGGGUAUUGACUGCACCAGCCCACCUCAAGAAGCACUUCCCAUGGAUUAGCCACUUACUCCCAACAACAAUCCCAUGAGGUUUGAUCUGCUUGGUCAACCGAUGAUACUGGCGUAACUGGGCAGCAGCAUAAUCUAAAAAUAUAAAAUGAGAAUCAGCGAUAAUAUAUUUCCUUGUU
rnacentral:lncRNA from 10 species